rnacentral:rRNA from 1 species
ACGGAAGGCAGCAGUGGGGAAUAUUGCACAAUGGGGGAAACUCUGAUGCAGCGACGCCGCGUGAGUGAAGAAGUAUUUCGGUAUGUAAAGCUCUAUCAGCAGGAAAGAAAAUGACGGUACCUGACUAAGAAGCCCCGGCUAACUACGUGCCAGCAGCCGCGGUAAUACGUAGGGGGCAAGCGUUAUCCGGAUUUACUGGGUGUAAAGGGAGCGUAGACGGCUUUGCAAGUCUGAAGUGAAAGCCCGGGGCUCAACCCCGGAACUGCUUUGGAAACUGUAGAGCUAGAGUGCAGGAGAGGUAAGUGGAAUUCCUAGUGUAGCGGUGAAAUGCGUAGAUAUUAGGAGGAACACCAGUGGCGAAGGCGGCUUACUGGACUGUAACUGACGUUGAGGCUCGAAGGCGUGGGGAGCAAACAGGAUUAGAUACCCUGGUA